CCUUCAUUAUUCUUAAUGAUUAUUCUUUGUCUUUGUUCCCUAGUCCUCAUGGAUGUCCAACAACAGGACAGGACAUGGAAUCACUCUUCUAUGCUACAUUUUUCCCACCUUCUGUCCAGAGUCUGAGAACAGACUCUUGGAGACAUUUGGUCUAUGUGGAGUCUCAGAAUGACUCAUGGACAUAUCUGGUUUGUUCAGUGACCCCUGAGCAACUCCCUGUUAAUCGCUGUCUUCUUACUAACUAUUUGCUUUUUUCCCCCCUUUUCGUUUUCCCUCAUUACAUAUGAUACUUCUCCUCUUUCCACCACCUGCGUGUCACCCGGUUCUCUCCCGUUGAAACUGAUAGUUGUGUUUAUUUUCUUUACUAAAUCAUGGGGGAUGGGGGACCUCGGAUUUGUAGAAAUAAUAUUCAGAUGGGUCAUUUGUCAUGCAAAAGACUAAAUAUGGAGUGAUGUUUUUCGGAAGGUCCAAAUUUCAUGUCUUAACCCUCUUUGUUAUAUAAAACUUAUUUUUUUCUACUAAUUUCGAC
rnacentral:lncRNA from 1 species